UCCCAAGGAUCAAGGAGGAUGAGAGAGGUUGCAUGUCCAACUUGCACAGUCCAUUUGCAGGUUGAAGUUCCAGCUUCUGGAUCAGAAACGAUCGAGUGCAGCGUCUGCCAGCAUCCAUUCCUUGUUAGUGCUCAUUGACAGGCUGGGUCGGUGUGGUUUGGUUUGCAAUUAUCCUAUAUCCAGGGAUUGAUUAGAAGUCACCAUGAUGGUCCUUCCAACUUCAUAUGAUUGUUUUUAGGGAUAUCAAGAUCUGUAUUUAUUGGCGUUUGUGUUGGUCUCUCUUUCAAUAAUGUAGAUUUAUUAGUAGUAGUCAGUUCUAUGAUCUUCUUUUCUGCUGUGCAUGUAUAGUACACAUGCUUUAUGUCGUGAAGCACAUGCAAAAGUGAUUCAAACACGAUAUGAUGCGAGAGAGGCAUGAAACUAGUUCUGGUCAUUGUGCAAAUUCAUCAGUUUCUGCAUUUUGAAUCCUUGAUAUAUGUUGUUUUUUAUUUGUA